UACGUAGGGUGCAAGCGUUGUCCGGAAUUAUUGGGCGUAAAGAGCUCGUAGGCGGUCUGUCACGUCGGAUGUGAAAACUCGGGGCUCAACCCCGAGCCUGCAUACGAUACGGGCAGACUUGAGUUCGGCAGGGGAGACUGGAAUUCCUGGUGUAGCGGUGAAAUGCGUAGAUAUCAGGAGGAACACCGGUGGCGAAGGCGGGUCUCUGGGCAACUACUGACGCUGAGGAGCGAAAGCGUGGGGAGCGAACAGG
rnacentral:rRNA from 1 species